CCUUUUAGGGCCACACCAUGGCAAAUGGAGGUUGCCAGGUUAGGGGUCGAAUAGGAGCUACAGCUGCUGGCCUACACCACAGCUCACAGCAACGCCGGAUUCUUAACCCACUGAGUGAGGCCAGGGAUCGAACCCUCAACCUCAUGGUUCCUAGUUGGAUUCGUUUCCUUUUUGCCACAAUGGGAACUCCUCUCACUUCUAAGCUAGGUAUUUAGAGCCAUCUCCGGAGAUUGUAAUCUAAUGCUGCAAACUUAUCCUUAAACCAUGCUCCCACUUCUGCACCUCACCUUUUGUCAAACCUCUUGCUUCUCCCCCCAAACUGAAAAUAUCAUUAUAUCUUUGAAAAAUAGUUCCUUCCAUUUGAAUGCUUUCCUCUCCCAUGUUUAUUUCCAGAUCAAUUUCAAGUGGGAGAUUGCAUGGUUUUGUGAUAAGAUGCCAGACUUUGGUUUCAGACAACCUGGGUUCAAAUCCCAGGGCCACCACAGAAAAUGAGUCUUGGGCAAAUUGCUUAGUUUCUGAGAACCUCAGUGUCCUCUUCUCUAUACGAAGAGGAUGAUGAUAGCAGUAUAUAUAUUGCAGGAUUGUAGAAAGAAUGAGAUGGGUUAAAAUGAGAAAUGAUGAAGUACUUAAAGCAACUCUCAUACUUAAUAAGCCUCCAUAUAAGGAAUUCUUUCCAUUGAUAUCAUCAUCUUCAUCAUCAUUAUCCACUUCAGGAAGAUUCUCCUAUCUCAUCAACUAAAAUGAAAGCCUUCCUCUUUUUUUUUGUCCUUGCAAAGGACGCUGGCCAUGCCUCUAAUUAUAUUUAUCAAAACAUGACAUACAUGAGCUAUUAAUGACUGCUUGCUUUAUUUCACAGGGAAGAAUAAAUUCCACAGACAGUUAUUAAGUACUAAACUCUUAAUUAUGAGUAGCGUAUACUUAGUGCUUUGCAUUUUUCUCCUCAAUUAUUCCAUUAUUCGUUCACACCCUCCCAAUCUACAACCAUGGAACCCUGCAACCUGGACAAUACGGCAGGGUCCUUAACUCCUCACUCUUCCUGUGUGCUAAUAUUUCCUGGGUCUUGCAGAGUCUACCUCCUUGGCAGAUUUUAUGACCUGAGCCUCAGUGGCCCAAGCAGCAUUGCCUUGGUGAAUUGUUCUCCAAGAUUAUUAUGAUUGUUUCUAACUAGGAGCUUUAAUCCAAGUGGCCUUCCAAGGUAACACCUGUGACCACACCUAUGAGGGCCCCUAUCCUGUAUUUGUCUGCUCAUGCACUAGCACUGCCAGCUAAAAACAAAGUCUCUUGCAUGCAGGGAUCACAUUACGUUCAUAGUGAAUAGCUCAACGCAUGGCACGUUGUAGGCUAUCAAAAAGCAACUGUCAUAAAAAUGAGUGAGUCAUUCCAUUCCAUCUCCAUAUACUUAGGUUGACCUCGAUGCUUAUAAAUGCCCCAGAUAUGGACUAUAGGCCACAAUAGUGCAGCUCUGGGUUUAGAUACUGGGGCUAGGAAUUCCCCAGUGAGUUGAAGAAUUCUGUUCCAAUAGCCUCUGUGGGAAACAUGCAGGCCAGCAAAAGACUCAGAGAAAGGAGGGGACUGAAAGGAAAAGCAAUGAACGCAUAAUCAUUUCUUCUCAAAAGCAUGGUAUCAGACCAGUUCAAAGAUGAUGGAGACCUAGUCCUUGUUUUCAGAAGCAUCACUUUACAGGCAGAAAAGCCUACCAACCACUGUGCUGUAUUGUGAUGUACCACCUGGAUUGCCCUCUGGGUCCCCAGCCUGUGGGAGUGCUGCUGGCCCUGAGGGAUAUUCCUUUAAAAGCAUCAAGGUUCAACCUAAGUAUAAGGAGAUGGAAUGGAAUGACUCACUCAUUUUUGUGACACUUGAUUUUUGAUAUCCUGUAGGUGCCAUGCACUGAGCUCUCCACUUUGAACAUAAUGUGACCCCUGUAUGCAAGAGACUUGGUUUUUAGACGGCAGUGCAGGUACAUGAGCAGAUGCAUCCUUCAUACCUCAACAUCAUUGUGGGUUCCCAAAGCAAUCCACAUCCAAUGACUGAUAUAAAGGCUGGGCCUUUUCAUUCAACUUGGAGCAGCACUGCAGGGCCAUCCCAGACUCAGUGCUCCUGGAAGGUUGACUAAGACCUCCACUGGGAUGGCAUCGCACCUCAACUUUGUUGGGCUUCAAGGGCCCUCCAAGGAGAUUGAACUCAAAGCCUCUGGCCAAGACAAGAAUCACCAGACCCAUAUCACCUCCCCACCUGUUUCAUUGUGAUGCUCCUUCCCCGAACCUGAGCAACCUGGCCUACUCCUUCCUGUCCCCUACUAGGAAAGGUAUGUGGCCCACUCCUCAUCCCACCUCUGUAGAAGCCUCAUAUGCCCCCAACCAACCAGCAAGUGUAUUGUAAGACCUCUCUUUCCCCAACAAAUUAGCAGAUCAACAGGCAUAUCACAAGACCUCUCCUCUCCCUGGGUUAUAAAAACACACAUGACCAGGCACUCACUGUCAGCUCUCCUUGACUAUCAGGGAGUCAUCCUGCUGCACUUGCAGUGUCUCUAAUCUCAAUAAACUCUGCUUUCUCUCCAUCUCUCCAUGCUCAAUAAAAUCUUCUUUCCUUUCACCCUGGUAUGAAUCUGGAAAUUCUUCUUCCAAUCCACAUGCACAGGCCACAACAAACUUCUCUAUUCACAGCUCUUUCUUUCUCUUUCCUAGUAAACUGAUCUCGAGAACACACCCCCAAUAAACUGUCUCCUGGCUAAACUCUGUUUCAGAAUCUGCUUCCUAGAACCUAACCUGUGACAGCCAAAGAUAAUGAACAUAGAUAGUAUUGAAUUUUAUGACAGAACAUGCCACAACUCAGAGAAAAAUAACUACUGGCCCAUAAGCCACGUUUCAUCCUUGGAAUUGUUUUGUGUUGACUUUUCAGGAGUUAAAGAUGGUGAACUGUUGGUCAACACUAACACAAAUUCUUUUGAAAAGGCUGAAGGCCUGGCAGUAAUGGGCCAGCACCUACAGACGGCCCUGAGAACUGGAGUUAGGAGAUGGUGUUCCAUUUGGAUUGUGCUCAGGCAACCCACCCACCAUUCAUUUCCUUUAGCUGCCUAUUCUUGAGGACCUUGGAGUUGUAUAGGUCAUGACUGAUUCUAAUAUUCCAGUUUCUAACCCUGAGGUAGGUUACUUCCCUGGUCAGCUGCCUUCCCUCAAUAACUUACACACCUCCUCUGACUUUUCCCAGAGAACAGAAGCUUUUGACUGGCUGGGUCUUCACAAUAGUCUAUCUUGGUACCUCUGCCCCAGCAGAUGUGUGAGAUGGGUGAAUGUGGCAGUUGUUCAAAGCAUGCUUGUUAAGCCAACAGAACUAAAUAGAAGGCCCUCCCUGCUCCUCUCCGUGAUAACCACAAGCAGUGCCUACUCUUCUAGUGCAUUCUGAGGGAGACUCUGUGAUCUCUGGAUGUAAGAAGUGGUUUUUUUCUGACAUGCAGAAAGAAGUUGGGUUCUCCUUUUCAGAGGACAUGACCAAUAGUGUGUUUCCAAGGCUUAGAGAUGAAUACAGGUUAUUUGGGUGGUUUUAAAAAGCAGAGGCAAUAAGUAGCCUAUAUCACAGGGCUCCUUUGCUUGGUUGAAGUCACCAGGAGCAAACCCGUGGAGGACUUAGCAUUGCAGAACAGGUCCUGGCUGUGCUGUCCAAGUGCAGGUGAAAGGCUUAAGUAAUUGCUGUCCUUGGGCAUCAGUCAAAAUGCAGAGUCGAAACUAUACAAGGGCAAGCGCUCCCACUGAGGAAAAAUGAUCAACGAUUGUUAGACGGAAUAAUAGGUGACUGCUGACAUUUCACCUUCUAUUGUUAUGGCAAUGCUUCAAGAAAGAAGUGUAGUUAAGGUUGUCAGAAUUUCAUUUUAUCCCCUCCUUUGAGGCUGUUAAAAAUUCACUCAUGCUGAAACUUGCCUUUCAGGUUCUCAGCCAGAUUUGUGCUUUGUUUCUAAUCCGUUGUUCUCUAAUGGAAUGCAAUAUGCAAUGCAGUGGUAAGGGUUUUUUUUUUCCCAAGGAUCUUUCUAUAGACUGCUUGCUACCUCAACUCCCCUUUCCUUGCUCACUACACUCUCUGCCAAAAGGUUAAUUUUCACCACCAACAAUACAUGCAACGGAGAGAGGAUUAAAAGCUUUUGGUGAUGCUUAUAAAAAUAGCCACAGCAAUAAGCAAUACUCAACAAAUAGGAAUCUGUUCAGUGAGGCACUCACUAAAGGGAACCACAAUCCCAGAGUGCUAUAAAUGUCCAGAAGAGACACAGGUGAGUCAACAGGCAUUUCUGUGGCUCUCACAGAAUAAAAGGUAACCAAUGACAAUUCAAAAAUGUCUUCGUAGGUGUGACAAAGAGUCGAUGAUCUGGUAGGAAGGAGGAACUAGAGAUAGACUCUCUGAGCUGCAUGUGCCUGGCAAUCCCACUGAUUUUGUUUAGACACUGUGCUCUUCGCACCCACAGUUCCCUAUGACCCCUCCCCAAGCCAUCUCCCACGGAGACAAAACUCUAGGGGCAGAGGAAAGAACCAAUGAUAUACUGUCAGUUACUCUGUGCCAGGCAGAAUGCUAGGUACUUUAUUAACCAUAAGAUACCAAGAGGCAUGAGAUGCCCUCUCUAUUCUCCAGCUGAAACCUACUUUAGGUUUCUAUACCUGUGCAUAAGUGACUGUCAAACACUCACUCUCAUGCUUGCUUUGCUUAUCUUCACCUCAAGCAGCUGUCCAGCAAGACUUAUUAUGUGGAUCAGCAGAUGAGAUAUCACCAUAUGCAACAGAGUAUUUACUUUUGUAGACAUGCUGCCAGUCUUUGAUAGAUGUGUUGGGUCUUGCACGUACCAUCCUUCCCAUUACAGAAGUCCCAGAACCUGAGAAAGUGCUAUAAUUAGCCUUUUAUUAUUAUAAGCAUUUCUGCAAUACUUUCCAUUUGCAAACUGCUUAACAAUCAACUCUACUCUUUAUGUCUUGCAAGCAAUCAGAUAGCUCAACACUUGUUAGCUCUGUUUUAUGGCCCUGAAUCCUCAGGCCUAGAGUUCAAAGAAAUCAAGGGUUACGCAGCCAGCUCAGGCUUAAGAUCAACACAGCUGCUCUGUUUUUAUCCAGCCUCUCAGUCUGGCUGCCCAGCUGCUUCCUGGUCCUUUCCCUGAAUAUAUAUAAUGUAUAUAUAUUAUUUUUAAACUCCUGGCAUUAAGACAAGCAUAGUAAGAAUAUCGACCCCAAUUCUGCAUUUUUAGUGUGAAGAACUCACAGCCUGGGCUUUUGCCAAGUGUUGCUGGAAUAAUUUUGGCAGAUCUGAGACAGCCCCGCAAUCUCCCUCAGCUGGUGGAGAAGCCAAGCUGAAUCUGUGCGGGGGGCCGUUUACCCCAGCCUGUGACACUAAGGAGGGCAGGGGUAUCCCAGGCAGAGGUCAGGUGCAUUGUCCAGCUGGGCAGAGGCAGCUGUGAAGCAAGUGGGGCUGGGUGGGUGGGAGAGCUGCUUGGCCUUCGGAAGCUUCUUUGGCGAAUGACAGAGCUGCUCUCUAGGGUCUAUGUCUGCUGUGACAUGCAUCACAGCCUCAUGAAGGUAAGGCCCAAGUGGGUCUAGCUUUCCAGGAGGGAAUAUUUGGCCAUUGUCUUAGAAAAUGGGUGGCAAAAUAUGGUCAGAGGCAUCAAGAAUAACCAUAGCUCAGCUUUGGAAAAGGCCUUGUGGAGAGACGCCCCUCUCUUCUUGGAGGCAGGCUAUUUUGUCUAUCAUUGUUGAAUGAUGCCAUGAUCUCAUACGUGUAGCAAUAAAAAUGUUUAUUAUCCCACAUUGUCAUCUCAUAAUCUCUGUGAAACCUGCUAUUAAAUCCAGAGACCAUGGUUCCUUACUCAACUUUUUUUUUCUUCUUAGGGCUGCACCUGCAGCAUAUGGAGGUUCCCAGGCUAGGGGUGGAAUCAGAGCUGUAGCUGCCAGCCUACACCACAGCCACAGCAAUGCUGGAUCCGAGUCAUGUCUGCAACCUACAUCACAGCUCACGGCAACACCAAAUCCUUACCCCACUGUGCGGGGCCAGGGAUAGAACCUGUGUCCUCGUGGAUACUAGUCAGGUUCGUUACUGCUGAGCCACAUUGGGAACUCCUCAACUUUGUUUUGAAAUUGCAAUAAUAUAUUUAUUAACUGGGUAUAUCUUUCCAGUCUAAUUCCAAACCUAAUUUAUUUCUGAUAUUCUCUUUACUCUUCUUUAAAUGGUGAGGGUCAGCUGGUCUAGCGCCCAUAUUCGAAAACAAAUACUUUUUCUCUUGUACUCUCAUUUUCCCCAAAUACAUUUGCAUCCUUCUCAUCACUUUCAUCAUCAUCACCAGCAUUAGUUGCCAGGCAUUAUCCUGAGAAUUUUACAUGGGCUGGUGGGAAUUUCUGUGAUCCCUAUUUUACAAAUGUGGACACUGGGAUGCAGACUAAGUAAUUCAUACAAGACCGGUCAUGCUGGAAUUGGGACACACAGCAUCUGGCUCCAAAGCUAGACUCCUUACUACUAGGCUCUAGAAACCCCCUGGGACCCUGCUAAGUAUGUUGUCAUUUCCAAAGCAAUUUUAUGUGCAUCUUUUUACCUGAGUCUUACAAUCCCACAUAAGAUUUUGUUUAAACUGGAAACCCCCAUUUCUUUCAAUCUUGGAAAAAUAUGUAAUGUUUUAUUUUGUCAAAGGAUUUAGGGUUGGGCUAGUUUUUUUCCUGAUGAGAAUUCUAGAUUUAAUCUAAAGUAACACU
ensembl:lncRNA